rnacentral:rRNA from 1 species
AACGAACGCUGGCGGCAUGCCUAACACAUGCAAGUCGAACGAGACCUUCGGGUCUAGUGGCGCACGGGUGAGUAACGCAUGGGAACCUGCCCUUAGGGGCGGAAUAACUCGCCGAAAGGGGUGCUAAUACCGGAUAAUUUCUUCGGACCAAAGAUUUAUCGCCUUUGGAUGGGCCCGCGUUGGCUUAGCUAGUUUGUAGGGUAAAAGCCUACCAAGGCGACGAUCCAUAGCUGGUCUGAGAGGAUGCUCAGCCACACCGGUACUGAGACACGGCCCAGACUCCUACGGGAGGCAGCAGUGGGGAAUAUUGGACAAUGGGCGAAAGCCUGAUCCCGCAAUGCCGCGUGAGUCAUGAAGGCCUUAGGGUUGUAAAGCUCUCUUUCCCGGGAUGAUAAUCACAGUAACGGGAGAAUAAGCUCCGGCUAACUCCGUG